CACAUUUCAGAAAUUGAAUCCAUUCUUUCUAGCGAUCUCGAACUUAUUAGUGAGUGGUUAGUUGACAAUUAACUGUCCCUACAUCUUGGUAAAACCGAGUCAAUAUUGUUUGGCUCAAAGCCCAAACUAAGGUCAAAUCCUCAGUAAAAUGUCUCUUGCAAUGGUGUGUCAAUUACUCCAUCAAAUUCUGUUAAGUAACUAGGUGCUAUAUUGGACAAGUGCCUGUCUGGUGAAACCAUUGCUAGGUCAGUUAUUACAAAGGCAAACUCCAGGUUAAAGUUUAUAUACAGAAAAAAGAAGUUCUUAACAUUGCACACCAGAAAACUCCUUGUCACGUCCCUUUUACAGUGCCACUUUGACUAUGCCCGCUCCUUUUGGUACCCUGGUCUUAUUCAGUCACUUAAAAAUAGGCUUCAAACUACACAGAACAAGGUAAUUAGAUUUGUUCUGAAUAUGGAUAACAGAUCCCGUGUUGGUCAAGAACAGUUUUCAUACUAAGGUUGGCUGCCUGUUUCAAAAAGAGUAGACCAGGUCAUACUAAGUCAUGUACAUAAGGUUAAAAAUGGCCUUGCACCAGAGUAUAUGGGUCCAAUAUGGUAGCUCAGCCAGAAUCUGAUCAUUUUGCUGAUAAUUUUACAUUUGUAGACUCUGGUCGUUUUUCCAAACCAAGAGUAGGUAGUUUUGGUUCUAAAACAUUUACAAAUAAUGGUAUUAGUUUAUGGAACAAUCUUCCACAAAACAUCAGGGAUGUAUCUAAACCUAAUCAUUUCAA